GCCUCCUGAUCUGCCUCCCUCGUGAGCAAGCGGCCGCCUACUGCAAGGACAUCGAGAAGCAGGAGGGCUUCCAGUCCUGGAUCAUCGGCAUCGUGGAACAGGGGAAUCGCACGGCCAGGGUCAUCGACAAGCCCCGGGUCAUAGAAGUCCCCUCCAAGGAGAAGGAGGGGGAGCUCUGGUAGUCCCCACCCCACCCCCGGGGGAGGGGGCGAGAGCGAAGAGAUUCGGAAAAUAAUGAAUGGGGUUGUAUGAUCCCGAAAAGUUUCGGCGCAACAUCUUUCCCAUGAUGUGACGAGCAGCGUGUUAUUCUCCGUACAGUUUUGUGAACCCGUUCUGGAAAACUUUCAGCAACUGGAAUGGUGGAUGUCCCCUGUAUUACGUAUACACGCCGUCAAUCUGGAAAAUGUGUUGCUUUGGAGUUUUUCCUUGUAAUUUUAUUUAAUAAAAUUUGUAAUAAUGCAAA